CAGAACGAACGCUGGCGGCAUGCCUAACACAUGCAAGUCGAACGAGACCUUCGGGUCUAGUGGCGCACGGGUGCGUAACGCGUGGGAACCUGCCUUUAGGUUCGGAAUAACUCAGAGAAAUUUGAGCUAAUACCGGAUAAUGUCUUCGGACCAAAGAUUUAUCGCCUUUAGAUGGGCCCGCGUUGGAUUAGCUAGUUGGUGGGGUAAAGGCCUACCAAGGCGACGAUCCAUAGCUGGUCUGAGAGGAUGAUCAGCCACACUGGGACUGAGACACGGCCCAGACUCCUACGGGAGGCAGCAGGUGGGGAAUAUUGGACAAUGGGCGAAAGCCUGAUCCAGCAAUGCCGCGUGAGUGAUGAAGGCCUUAGGGUUGUAAAGCUCUUUUACCCGAGAUGAUAAUGACAGUAUCGGGAGAAUAAGCUCCGGCUAACUCCGUG
rnacentral:rRNA from 1 species